rnacentral:rRNA from 1 species
UACAGAGGGUGCGAGCGUUAAUCGGAAUUACUGGGCGUAAAGCGUGCGUAGACGGUUAUGUAAGUCAGAUGUGAAAGCCCCGGGCUCAACCUGGGAAUGGCAUUUGAGACUGCAUAGCUAGGAUGCGGAAGAGGGAAGUGGAAUUUCCGGUGUAGCGGUGAAAUGCGUAGAUAUCGGAAGGAACAUCAGUGGCGAAAGCGACUUCCUGGUCCAGCAUCGACGUUCAGGCACGAAAGCGUGGGGAGCAAACAGG